rnacentral:rRNA from 1 species
GGGGCAAUUGCUCCACUACAAGAUGGACCUGCGUUGUAUUAGCUAGUAGGUGAGGUAAUGGCUCACCUAGGCGACGAUACAUAGCCGACCUGAGAGGGUGAUCGGCCACACUGGGACUGAGACACGGCCCAGACUCCUACGGGAGGCAGCAGUAGGGAAUCUUCGGCAAUGGGGGGCAACCCUGACCGAGCAACGCCGCGUGAGUGAAGAAGGUUUUCGGAUCGUAAAGCUCUGUUGUAAGUCAAGAACGGGUGUGAGAGUGGAAAGUUCACACUGUGACGGUAGCUUACCAGAAAGGGACGGCUAACUACGUGCCAGCAGCCGCGGUAAUACGUAGGUCCCGAGCGUUGUCCGGAUUUAUUGGGCGUAAAGCGAGCGCAGGCGGUUUGAUAAGUCUGAAGUUAAAGGCUGUGGCUCAACCAUAGUUCGCUUUGGAAACUGUCAAACUUGAGUGCAGAAGGGGAGAGUGGAAUUCCAUGUGUAGCGGUGAAAUGCGUAGAUAUAUGGAGGAACACCGGUGGCGAAAGCGGCUCUUCCG